GAUGAAGAACGCAGCGAAAUGCGAUAAGUAGUGUGAAUUGCAGAAUUCAGUGAAUCAUCGAAUCUUUGAACGCACAUUGCGCCCUUUGGUAUUCCUUAGGGCAUGCCUGUUCGAGCGUCAUUUAAACCUUCAAGCUAAGCUUGGUGUUGGGUGACUGUCCGCUUCACGGCGGACUCGCCUCAAAAUUAUUGGCGGCCGGUACAUUGGCUUCGAGCGCAGCAGAAACGCGAACUCGGGCCCGUCGUAUUGGCUCCCAGAAGCUAACUUCACAAUUUUGACCUCGGAUCAGGUAGGGAUACCCGCUGAACUUAAGCAUAUCAAUAAGCGAGGA
rnacentral:misc_RNA from 1 species